rnacentral:rRNA from 1 species
CCGUUUGGUGAAUCUAGUGCCGAGAAAAGCCUUCUAUGUGUUGAAUUUCUAGUACCCGUACCCCAAACCGACACAGGUGGGUGGGUAGAGCAUACCUAGGGGCGCGUGAUAACUCUCACUAAGGAACUCGGCAAAAUGGCCCUGUAACUUCGGGAUAAGGGGUGCCUGCGUGAGCAGGCCGCAGUGAAAUGGCUCUGGCGACUGUUUACCAAAAACACAGGUCUCUGCUAAGUCGUAAGACGAUGUAUAGGGGCUGACUCCUGCCCAGUGCCGGAAGGUUAAGGAAGUUGGUUAGCGCAAGCGAAGCUGGCGACCGAAGCCCCGGUGAACGGCGGCCGUAACAAUAACGGUCCUAAGGUAGCGAAAUUCCUUGUCGGGUAAGUUCCGUCCCGCACGAAAGGAGUAACGAUCAGAGCGCUGUCUCGGAGAGAGACACGGCGAAAUAGGAUUGUCCGUGAAGAUACGGACUACCUGCACCCGGACCGAAAGACCCUAUGAAGCUUUACUGUAACUUGGAAUUGUGUUCGGACUUUGUCUGCGCAGAAUAGGUGGGAGGCUAUGAAACGUUCCUCGCGGGGAACUGGAGCCAUCGUUGAGAUACCACUCUGGCAGAGUCUGGAUUCUAACCUACGGGGACAGUUCCAGGUGGGCAGUUUGACUGGGGCGGUCGCCUCCUAAAAUGUAACGGAGGCGCGCAAAGGUUCCCUCAGGCUGGUUGGAAAUCAGCCAUAGAGUGUAAAAGCAUAAGGGAGCUUGACUGUGAGACCUACAAGUCGAGCAGGGACGAAAGUCGGCUUUAGUGAUCCGACGGCACUGAGUGGAAGGGCCGUCGUUCAACGGAUAAAAGUUACUCUAAGGAUAACAGGCUGAUCUCCCCCAAGAGUUCACAUCGACGGGGAGGUUUGGCACCUUGAUGUCGGCUCGUCGCAACCUGGGGCGGUAGUACGUCCCAAGGGUUGGGCUGUUCGCCCAUUAAAGCGGCACGUGAGCUGGGUUCAGAACGUCGUGAGACAGUUCGGUCCAUAUCCGGUGUAGGCGUAGGAGCAUUGAAAGGAUCUCUCCUUAGUACGAGAGGACCGGGAGGGACGUACCUCUGGUGUACCUGUUAUCGUGCCAACGGUAAACGCAGGGUAGCCAUGUACGGAGUGGAUAACCGCUGAAAGCAUCUAAGUGGGAAGCCCACCUUAAGAUGAGUGCUCCCUUGAGGCCACGGGAAGACGACCCGUUUGAUAGGCGCUAGGUGGAAGUGCAGUAAUGCAUGCAGCCGAGGCGUACUAAUAGGCCGAUGGCUUGUCC